AUGCCCAUUUCAUUAAAAACACUAUCUGGUCUCGCCCUUUGUCCAAAUCUAACUGGAAAGACAAGUAGACAGAAGUCUUCUCCUGAGCAUAAAUAUGGCUAUGAGAAGAAAAGAAGAACUAAAAUAAUCACUACCAAAGGAUGCCAAGGCCAGCACCCCUGGAGAAAUGCCCUCAUCAGUGAACAUUCACCUUCUGGGCAAGUCAUCCAUGGGACUUCAGCCCUCAUUUAUCCAUCCUGGGGCUUGCUUGUCAGUGAACUUGUAUCUGUCUAACUUUAUCUUUUUUCCAAGUCAAAUCCCUGAAGAAGAGAAAGCUCCUGCUGGAACCACAUGUGUGGCAUCCUGGGAAAGACUCAAGAGGCCUGUUCAUCUAUUUAGUGACAGGAUUUUCCAUGCUCAAUAAAUUCUGCUCCAUCGCAAUUGCAAUCUUGUGUGUGGCAUCUUUCCUCUCUAAUGCUCUAGAUCCCUCUCUGCUUUUACAAUUAUGGGUCUGGUCCCCUGUAGGAGGCU
rnacentral:lncRNA from 1 species